rfam:Mus musculus chromosome 13, GRC primary reference assembly.
AGCAAAACAAUGGGCAAAGAGAUACAUUAUUGGUUGUAUUGUACUUACAUCAGUCAGGAGCUGAGCAGAUAGUGGUCCUUUGCUUAUCCUAGCUUGAUGCCUGGCUUGGUGGCCAAUGCUGUUUUAUGCUUAGGACUCAUAA